AUUAGGCUCAGGGUUGGGGUUGAUUUGGGGUUGGGGUUGGGAUUAGGCUCAGGAUUGGGGUUGGGGUUGGGGUUAGGAUUAGGCUCAGGGUUGGGGUUGGGGUUGGGGUUGGGAUUAGGCUCGGGUUUGGGGUUGGGAUUAGGCUCAGGAUUGGGGUUGAGUUGGGGUUGAGGUUGGGAUUAGGCUCAGGGUUGGGGUUGAAUUGGGGUUGGGGUUGGGGUUGGGAUUAGGCUCAGGGUUGGGGUUGAAUUGGGGUUGGGGUUGGGAUUAGGCUCAGGAUUGGGGUUGGGGUUUGGGUUAGGCUCAGGGUUGGGGUUGGGCUGAGGGUCGGGAUCGGGGUCAGGGCUGGGGUUUAGCGAAUGCUUUCAGCCCUCAGGGUUCGGCUCGGGUUGGGCUUUCGGGGUCCCCCGACCCCGCAGUCGGACCCCGAGAUAAGGGGAGG
ensembl:lncRNA